rnacentral:rRNA from 1 species
ACAUAGGGUGCAAGCGUUGUCCGGAUUUACUGGGCGUAAAGCGCGCGUAGGCGGUAAUUCAAGUCAAACUUUAAAGACUCCUGGCUCAACCGGAGUUUGGGUUUGAUACUGUUUUACUGGAGAUUGGGAGAGGAAAGUGGAACAAACAGUGUAGCGGUGAAAUGCGUAGAUAUUGUUUGGAACACCCAUGGCGAAGGCAACUUUCUGGACCAAAUCUGACGCUGAGGCGCGAAAGCGUGGGUAGCAAACAG